GUGGAUCCUGUCAGCAGAGCAGGUGACUUUGGGUGAUGCAGACUGCAAACACUGCAUGUAGCUGGGACUGGCCCGAUGUGUGUUCAUCUGGGUUAAACCAUCGCAGAGAGACUUGGGCAGGUUCAGGUUCUCUCCAGGAGAACGUUGUCGGGUCAGAGAUCAGUGUUUGCACGUCAGCACAGUGGGUGCCAGGUCAGACUGAAGACCUGCAGGACUGCAGCUUUCACAACCACCUUUAUAGGAUACCAGGCUGAGGAAUACCUG